rnacentral:rRNA from 1 species
UACGGAGGGUGCGAGCGUUGUUCGGAAUUACUGGGCGUAAAGGGCGCGUAGGCGGCCUGCUAAGUCGAACGUGAAAUCCCUGGGCUCAACCCAGGAACUGCGUCCGAUACUGGUUGGCUUGAAUCCGGGAGAGGGACGUGGAAUUCCAGGUGUAGCGGUGAAAUGCGCAGAUAUCAGGAGGAACACCGGUGGCGAAGGCGGUUCUCUGGGCAUUACCUGACGCUGAGGAGCGAAAGUGUGGGGAGCGAACAGG